GAGAUUUGAGCUUUCUAGUGUUGAUCCUUCUACGACUUUGCUUGAAUUCCUGCGUACACAGACUAGUUUCAAAAGCGUCAAGCUCGGUUGCGGUGAAGGUACUCUAUCUUCUUCUUCCUCUGUAUAAUACAAGUUCAUGUGUAAGACUUCAGAACUUCGUUAUUUUCUUUAUUUGCCUAUAAAUAUAUUUCAUUUUUCUUAUUUUUUUUUUUAAUUUUCUAAUGCUAAUCUAUUAGUAAUUAUAGUUUUUUUUUUUUUGAAUUAGGCCAAACGAAAUUGAAUUGAUUAGAAUUUCUAAACUGAAUUAGAUCGAACUUUGAGAUAAUUCAAUUUUAAUUUUGAUGUUUCAAUGGUUUAGGUCCUUCAAUUCUUGUCUUGAAAUUUGACUCACCAUUUUGGUAGGCAAAAGUUCAGAGUUAGAAUCAACUCAAAAUCAAAUUGCACUAUAGAUGAAUUAGAAUCGGAUCGAAAUCAUUGUGAGAAUUGAAUCAACUUUUUAUAGAAUCAUUUUGAUUUUAUUUCUAACUGAUUAGAUUUUUAGUCUAUUCAGUAAAAUUAGUUGUUUUGAUAGCACUAUUUGAAUAGCUUUUCAUCCGCUAAUAGCUAUACAUUACAUAGGUUAACUUGUUAUAAAACGGAAUAAUUUUUCUUCUAAUACUAAAAGCUAAACGUUAUAUACGUUAACUUUCAUAAAACACUUACGUUUUAACAAAAGUUUUCUAAAAUAUUAUCGCAAGAACACAGUCUUUGUAAAAUUGAGUUGAACUAUUUUGAAAGGACACUGUUGCGUUGCAAAUGGGGACGGUACCGUUGCAAAUGGGGACGGUACCGAACCGAACGGAUUGGCUUUGGUUCGAUGAUUUUGUUCAGCCGGACUUUUAGUUUUUACUUUAAUUUAAUACACAACAAAUGCCAAGCAAGCUUAUUAGCAAAAGAAUUUCCACAAAAACGACAGAAAUGGAAUAAUACAGUGCAAUAGAAAAUUAGAUUUAAAGUAACUACGGCUGCUCAAUUUGGCUUUGGUGGGAUGGCGUCAACUCACGUUGAUAAGGGGGCCACGUGGCAAUCAAUGAGAAAUAUAAGGGUACGUGUUGAUAAGAUUUCCUUGAAGACGGUUCACCCAAAAAAGGAUAAUUUAAGAAUAUAUAUGUCAAUUUUUAAUAUAAUUAUUAAUUAAUUUAACUAAACUUAGGUUUUUAACAUUGUAUUAUAGUCUAGGAAGUUGUUGUGUGGGCCGGACCAUAGUAUCCUUGUCAAGUGGCCCAAUUGUCACUUAAGGGCUUCAGAGAGAGUGUUAAAAUAUAUGGGCUCUUAUUGUAUAAACAUAAUUAUUAAUAUAAUAUUAUUAAUUAAAUUUGACUAAUGGCUCCUACGUCCAGAUUCUUACCAACAUUGUUUACGAAAGUUUUUCAUUGAUGAAGCCUGCUGUGCAGUAUUCUGAUGAUCCAUUGCACUCUCUCUCUGUAUAUUUAUAUAUCAUUUUGUAUUAUACUAUUAAGUUUUAAAUUCAAAUAAUUUUUUUAAUCCUCUAGUUAUUCAUUAAAAAAAAAAAUACUCUAUAAUUAUUGAUUUUUUUUAAUAAGAUUUAAAGUUUGGAAUUUUAUUUAUAAGAUGUUUAAUCUCUUUAAAUGUGAUAUAUAAAAAAUGUUAACUAAUAUAUAUUAUAUAUAAAAGUGAGAAUGAGAGGGGAAUAAUGAGAUUACCUAUAAUGACCUCAGUGAAAUUUUAGAAAUCCUAAAGUAGCCAAUUAAAUAUAAAUAUAGCAAAUUUUAUCUUUUUUAAUUAAGAUAUUAAUUAAUUUAACAAAAAAAUAAAAUACAUAAAAAUAUACAUGUUCCACGUGUUCUUUCACACAUAAAACAAAAUUAUAUAACAAAUUCUUUCACACAUUAAAACUCAUUAGAGUUACUAAUCAUUAUUCCGCAUGUUAAUUAACUUCAAUUAACUUUCAAACUUUUCUAUUUAUAUCUAACCUAUUUAUAUUUAUGUUUCUUCAAUUUUUUUUAUUUAUAAAUGCAACACUUUUUUUUAUUUUUUUUCGUUUUUCCAUAUAUAUUGAUUGUUAACUCACCAUAUUUCAUUAGAUCAAUAUUUCAAUUCUAUAAAACCGGUUAGAUUAUUUUCUAUAGAUGAAUAAUAUUCUGUUUCCCUCCGAUGAGGGAACAAUUAGAAAAGGAAUGAAAGGAAAAAACUAUUAAUGUAACUUAGGCAAGUGAUCUGCUAGGUAAUUGUUUUGAUUACAAUCUUUUUUCUUUUUAUUUUUUCUUCCUUGAGUUUUCUUGGUGCCAAGAUUAUGUCAGAAUGUAGAUUAACUGAAUAAAUAGGAACUGUAGAACACUUACUGUUUCUUAAUAUGUGCUCUAAAUUGUAAUUUAUGAUUUUAGGUGGUUGUGGUGCUUGUGUCGUUUUGCUCUCCAAGUACAAUCCAGUGCUUGACCAAGUUGAGGAUCUUACAGUGAGCUCAUGUCUUACGCUCCUCUGCAGCAUAAAUGGAGCCUCAAUCACAACAAGUGAAGGCCUUGGUAAUAGUAAAGAUGGUUUCCACUCAAUUCACCAAAGGUUCAGUGGAUUCCAUGCUUCCCAAUGUGGCUUUUGUACUCCUGGAAUGUGCAUGUCCUUGUUUGGAGCCCUUGUUAAAGCUGAAAAAACUGAUAGACCAGAGCCUUCUCCGGGUUUCUCCAAGCUUACAGUCAAUGAAGCUGAAAAAGCUAUUGCAGGAAAUCUGUGUAGAUGUACCGGAUAUCGACCCAUUGCUGAUGCAUGUAAAAGUUUUGCAGCAGAUGUUGAUAUGGAGGACUUGGGACUUAAUUCUUUUUGGAAAAAGGGAGAGCCGCAGGAAGUAAAGAUAGGUAGGAUGCCUCCAUAUAAUCAAGAGAUUUGCACUUUCCCUGAAUUUUUAAAAACAGAAGUUAAAUUUCCCCUGCUUUUGGAUUCUAAAAGAUGCUCUUGGCAUCAACCUUGUAGCUUUGAGGAGCUCCAAAGCUUAUUAAAAACCUUUGGCAAUGGCCCUGAAUUCCGGAUGAAACUAGUGGUUGGAAAUACAGGUACGGGUUAUUACAAGGAAGUAGAACACUGUGAUAAAUAUAUUGAUCUCAGGUAUAUUCCUGAGCUCUCAACGAUUAGGAGGGAUGGGACUGGUAUUGAAAUUGGGGCAGCUGUGACUAUUUUCAAAGUUAUUGAAGCUUUGAGGGAACUAAAUAAAAGUGAAUGUGAAUUUAGCUCUGAAAGUAAGAUGGUUUUCAACAAAAUUGCAGAUCAUCUGGAGAAAGUUGCUAACAAAUUUGUUAGAAAUACAGGCAGCAUUGGUGGCAAUUUGGUGAUGGCACAGAGGAAAAGUUUUCCUUCAGAUAUUGCCACAAUACUUCUUGCAGCUGGUUCCUAUGUUCAUGUAAUAAGUGGCACGGUGCAUGAAAAGCUUACUCUGGAGGAGUUUUUAGAAAGGCCUCCCUUGGAUUCCAAAAGCAUUCUCUCAACUGUUAAAAUUCCAAAUUUUGAAGUAAUUAAGGACAAAUCUCGUGAAAGAAAUUGUAAUCUGAUAUUUGAAACCUAUCGAGCUGCACCAAGGCCCUUAGGAAGUGCUUUAGCUUAUCUGAAUGCUGCUUUCUUGGCUCAAGUUUCCAGCUCAAAAUCAUCUGGUGGAAUUGUGUUGAAUAGCUGUCAGUUGGCUUUUGGUGCUUUUGGAACCAAACAUGCCAUUAGGGCAAGGAAAGUUGAAGAAUUUUUAACUGGAAAGCUGUUAACCAUUGGUGUUAUAUAUGAAGCUAUUAAAUUAGUUAGAGCUACAGUGGUACCUGAACAUGGGACUCCAAAUCCUGAAUAUAGGUCAAGCUUGGCUGUCAGUUUUCUUUUUGACUUUCUUGGCCCUUUAAGAAAUAUCGGCUCUAAGGGUUUGCUGAAUGGACACGAUGAUAUUUCAAUGUCUGAGGAAAUUAAAUUAAAGGAGAACCAUGAUAAGCUGGAUCAUGUUAAAUCCCCCUCUUUGCUGUUAUCAUCCAAGCAGGUGAUCCAAUUAAACAAGCAGUAUGAUCCUGUUGGGAAGCCGAUUGCAAAAACUGGAGCUUUUCUUCAAGCUUCUGGUUAGUAUUCUCAUUUUCAUAGUACAGUUUGACCAUUGAGUUUCCUUCCAUAUGAAAUUUACAUCUGUUUUACCUCCAUUGACUUGAUACAGGUCCAAAAAUUUUCUUAUUGAGGUUUACAUUAUUGAAAAUUAUGCCUCAUAAGUAAAUUUGGAUUCUUUCCAAAUUGUCCCCUUCGUAAGUAAACUGACUUGUUUAACUUCUUCUGUAGGUGAGGCUGUAUAUGUGGAUGACAUUCCCUCUCCUAGAAAUUGUCUACAUGGAGCAUUCAUUUAUAGCACAAAGCCUUUUGCAAAGGUAAAGAGUAUAAAGUUCAAUUCAGAAUCACUUCCAGAUGGAGUCACUGCAGUCAUUUCUUUCAAAGACAUUCCAAAAGGUGGGCAAAAUAUUGGCAGUCUCUUUGCAUUUGGUCCUGAACCAUUGUUUGCUGAGGAGCUUACUCAGUAUGCUGGAGAGCCUCUGGCAUUCGUGGUAUGUUUUUCAGCCAUCGCUUGUGUAGCAACAUUCGCCUCAUUUCUGUUGAUUGCAGUAUCAUUUUUGUCAUUUUUUCCCAUGGCGAGAUAACCUUGUUCAGUCUCUUUCAUUGACCACAAUCGUUGCAAAUUGCAAGGAUAGGAUGGAACAGAAUUAUAUGUAACUUUUGAAGUCAAAUGAGGGAAAAGAGAUUACCUAACCAACCUAAUUGUGGGUGUUUCGCAUGCUCAUAUGCUAACUGUAAAGGAGAAUGAUAGUAUUCUUCCCAAAGCUCCUUGUCCUGAAAAGAAUAUGUUUUACAGCUGAACCUAAGGAUUUUUAGCAUGGAAUACUAUUAUUUUCCUCAUUGUUGGAAUUGUCGUUAUGUUUUUGAUUUAUUCAAUGCAUCUAGCAACAUUUUCUUGAGUAAGAAGUGUUUCAAGCCUCUUCUUAAUACAUAUUCCUUAGUGUUCCCUUAAUAGACAUGAUAAAUGAAAUUUCUCGAAUUUUAUACCUAUAUUUGUCUUGGUUGACUGUGUUCUUUCUCUUUAUAUAUUUCAUAUAACUAUAUGCAGUUAUGCACCUUGCUCUUUUUUCAUUUCAUAAUGAUAGUUUUGAAUUAACAGUGGAUAUAAAACUUCACAGAUGUUUUUUAUCUGAUGAAACACGGUCUGUAGCCAGCAUCAUAGAAAGCAUUUUGCAAUGUGCCUUAGACUUCCAUUCUUCUCUUACUGCUAGAAUGUGGGAUGUGGGAAUGGAUCAAAACGACUCUCUGGGUAAACUUUCUAGGAUCAAUAUAUCCCAGGUGAUUUCCUACAUCUUUCUCCAAUAUGUGUUGAUUAAUAUCUUAAAAGUGGCAUUUCCAUAUUUAUUGGUUCGGUGGAGAAGCUUCAUGUGAAUAUGGAUUCUUUCUUAAGCCAUCAGGCCAGAGAGUCAACUGAAUGCCAAAUAAUACAGAGAUGCCUCAUGCUCUUGUUACAUUGUUUUACUUGUGAAACACUAAUUUGUAUUAUUUUGAGAUAAGCUCAGCUAUACAUGUCUGUGUAGCUCACAUUGGACUACUAAUAAAGUGUUUCGCUUUUGCAGGUGCUUGCCAUAAAGCAGAAGUUUGACAAAAAUUUAAAAGAAUUGCAUCUAUGUUAUCUCAAGUCACCUAGGCAUGGAAAGUUUGGGCUUUCUUGUUUUUGGGGAUAUCUCAACUAUAACGAGUACUACUCAUAAAUAGGUAAUGAAAUGAACCCAACUCGUUAUAUAGGUACUGAAAUGAACCUUACGACCUUUAAAUUCAGAGCUGUGCUCUGUGCAAAUCACCGUGACGGAUGGAUUGUCAGCAAUAUGCUUGAAUUAGUGAAUUUGAGUACGAAAACGGAAGGAUAUUUCCAACCUUUGUUGGUUACCUUCAUUGAAGCACUUCUUAGUGUCUGCUACCUCAGCAUGUGUGGUAUUUGUACCAUGGUCCUUGUCCAUCCAAGCCAGUUAUCCCUUUUGUUUUGAGUGUAUGCAGAGUUAUAACAUCCAUUUCAAAUGUAGUGCUUCACUAUGUUGCAUCGAAACUCCUAGCCAUGGGCAAAAUACUGUUUUCCCGUGUAAAAUUAUAUUUUAAAUGUUGUUUUCGCAUUUUCACAUUUCUUCGUUUCUGUUUCCGUGCAACAUUGGUGCUUCAAAUGAUAAGCACAGAAUUGUUGCUCCUUCCCUCAACCCUUCUCUAGAGUUUCUAUUGCAAUGGCUUUAAUAUAAGGAACUUGUGGUGUUCCUUUGGUUGGGAAAUUGGUAAGGCCUGGCCAUGUUGUGCGGUUAGUGAUAGGAAAUUGGUGUUUAGUUUCCUAGUGAUGGUCUAGAAGAUGCUUUCCAGACAAGAUCAAAUUUAUUUUAUGUAUCAUGAAUACAAGGAAUCAUUAUGGCAGCAAGAAUGAAAAUUUUUUUUUCUUUGUGAGCAUUUUCUUGCGUACUUACUCCCUCUCUCUCAAAAGAUUGUCGCAUUUCUUUUUCUACAAAUUCUAAGAAAAUAUAAUUAAUAUAGUGAUAAUCUACGUGUUUCUCUUUUCUACCUUUAUUCACAAUAAAUUAGCUCAAGUUUAUAGAUAUAAAUCACAUGUGAAAGUGAAUUUAUUGAAGGGUGAAAAAGGGAAAAAAAAUUAAAUGCAUGCUACAAAUAGAAAUGGACAUUUAUUUUGGUACAUCCCAAAAUGGAAUAUAGACAAUCUAUCUUUAUAAGAUGGAUGAAGUGUAUAGCUUAGAUUAUUUCUGAUGCUAACGUGGAUUGUGGGUGUUAUGUGAAAUAGAAGGUGUGAACGAUGAUGGUUGAGUGUCUAUUUAUAGACAAUGAAUUUUAAAACACUCUUCAAUGUAUUAGUUUGGAAUUUUCUUUUAUUCUCUUUUUUCUCUCUUCUAGGCCCGCAAUUUAAUAUGCAACCAAUCACCAAAGAACAAUAAAUGUUAACAUUGUCUACGAGAUCCUCUAAAAAUAGGUGUAGUAGAUAAUGUCUAUUAUUAUUAUUUUUUUGACACAUCAGCUGACAUCCUAAAUAGGUAUUAGUAUUGGAGAGUAUUUUUCAAAAAGUCUUUCCAUUUUUUUGAUAUGACAAUUAAAUAAGAGCGGUCUUUUCAUUGUUUUGAUGAGCAAUCAGUAUUUGCAUCGGAGAUACUUUUACUACCUUUAUUUUAUAAUAUUUGUUAUAUUUGAAAUUUCACUUCUCUUGAGAAAAUUAUUAAAUUUAUUUAAAUUACAAUAAAUUAUUGAGUAAAUUGAUUAUACUAUUCUUAAUUUAAUACUAAUUCUCUAAGAAAAUCAUUAAAUUGAAAUAAUACUUAUUGAUUUAUAUAAAGGGUAAAUAUGAAAAAGAAAAGAUUUAUUACUCUUUAAAACUACAGUUUCAAAUUAUUUUUUCAAAUGUGAUAAGUAUUAUGGAACGUUUCAAAUUAUUUUUUCAAAUGUGAUAAGUAUUAUGGAACGAAGGUAGUAUUACUUAGUUUUUAUGAUUGGAUUACUCCUUUUUUUUAUUAACCUUUUUGUUGCCAAUUCUCUAUUGGAUUUCUUUAUUAUUUAACCAUUUUUCCACGAAUUGAUGCCAAUUGUAAUGUUUUGUAUUAUCAAAAUAGAUUAAUGUUAAAUCGACAAUCAUAUCUUAAAUUUAUUACUUUUCUCUUCAUAAUCUUUUAUUUGUUUUUUAACUAUCAGUAAUAUACAAAAAAACUAUUAUUUUAUCAUUUUAAAGUUAACUUUUAAAAAAAACAUAAAAAGUUAAGUGAAAAUUUUCAAUUGUCAAUUUGAGCUUUGAAUGAAAUAUUGUCUUACAUGGCAUAAUGAAAAUAAAUAUAAAAAAUAAUUUAAUUAAAGUUAUUAAAUUGAAUAAUAAUUUAUUUAUUAUAUAAUUAAGUAAAUCAACCGUUUAAUUUGACCCGAAUCAAUACAGUAACAAGUCAAAAGGCACUCUAGAGUUUGAUUUUUCCUUUGCAUCUGUCUUCCAAAACGUAAGGAAGCACGUCAUCUUACACCAAAUCUUGCAUGUACCUUUUUCAUUUUUACGAGGAAACACAAGAAAUAACAAAUUUAAAUUGCUAUCACAUCAUUUAUCUUUUUUCACAAAUUUUUGAAUAGUAAUUUUUAUUUUUUAUCAUUUAAUUAAUAUUACGUGGUGAUUUGCAAAAAAAUGUCUCCGUUGUAUGAUCUUUUUAUUGUUUGUAAGGUCUCCUAUAUAACUAAGAGAGUGAAGAUGUUAUCUCUGUUACAUUCUUGACAAAGUGGAGAUAUUAUCUCCCUUAUGUCAAGUUAUCAUUGUAGAGCCCGUUAUGUUAUUUCGAACUUUCAUCUCCUAACGAGUUAAAAUAAAUUUUAAAGCAUUUAUAAUAAUAGAUAGAGAGUAUAAUUUUACAUGUUGUUGAUUAAAAAAUUAAUUCUAGUCCCUAUGACUUGGCUAAUUAAAUAUUUACAUCUCUAUAUUUUUAAAAAUAAUACAGAUUUUUUAGUAUACAUAAUGACUUUCAAUAGAAAAAAGAUUUCUUAAAAUUUAUAUAUUAGAAAUUACAAUGAAAAUAACUAUUAUAGUACUUAAAAUUUAAAAUUUAAAAUUUAAAAUAUGUUAUUGUAAUUUUAAAUUCAGUCAAUUCAAUUUCAUAUUACUUUGUAAAAACUAUUAAAAACUAUUAAAAUAGAAUCAUGAAUUAUAAUAUUAAAUCUAUCCCUUUGAAUAAAUUAAACAUCAUGUAUUUAUUCAAUAAAUUUAGAAUUCUAAAAUUUUUUUAAGUUUGUUAAUUUGUAAUUAAAUAUUUUAUAACAAACAAUUGAAAUAUACAUUUACGUGAAUUUUAUAUAUUCAUAGAAUGAAAUCAAAUUCAAAACUAAAAUUUAAAAACAUAUAUAAAAUUAGAUAACUUAAAAUUAAAAUUAAUAAUAUAAGUAAUUCAAUGGCAACAAAAGAUAAUUUUAUGAAAAUUGUGGGACCUUAUUUGCUUUUAUAUAUAUAUAUAUAUAUAGUAACUAAAAUUGUUUUUAUAUAUAAAAACUAAAUAAAACUGUGUAAAAAAAAAAAAAAAAAAAGAAAAAAAAAAAAAAAAAUUGCAGCCACCAUUUUUGAUCGCAGGCAGGCCUGAGCUAAGCAACAAAAGAAUAUAUGCAUUAACAAUUUAUUUAUUUGUCUGUAAAAGGCUUCGCAAAUUUCAAAGUUUAAGUUAAUACAUGCAAUUAAUCCUGUAGGUCCUUGCAUUAACUAACAAAUUUGUUAGGCAACGACUUUCAUACGGCAUUUAAUGUUUUGAUACUAAUAAUAGUAUUGCAUGUUUGACAAUACUCGUAAAGUUCACGUAACUGUCUUUUUUUUUUUUUUUUUUUUUUUUUAAUUCUAUAUUCUUCCUUUUUUUCAUUUUUAUCAUAAAAUUAUUAUUAUUUCUUUUUUCUAUUUGUAUAAAUCUAACGUCAUUUAUAUAUAAAAAAUAUAAGUUUUAUCUCUAUUAAAAUUCUUUACCUUUUUCCUAUUUUUUCUUUAUUUAGUAUUAUUUUUAAAUUUAUUAUUAUUUUCUUUAUCUAUAUAAAUCUAAUGUGAUUUAGUAUUAUUUUUGUCAUAAUAUUUAGAUAUUAUAUUUUUAUUCGAUUGAUCGUAUACAUAAUAUCAAUAGUUAUUCCUUUAAAAAAAAAAAUAAUAGUUACUGUAACUUUGAAAUUUGAAAAUUACAGUAUAAAAUAUUUUUAAUCAUUUUUUCUCAAAUUUUAGAUUUUUAAAAUUUUUAUUAUUAACUAAAUUCUUUAAUGACUUAAUAUGGGAGAUACUUGAUAAUUGGAAGAGUUUUUCACGUCAUAAACUAAAAGAAAAAAAAAAUUUAGGAAAAAAAAUUUUGAAACAAAGAAGCAACCAAAAACUAAAAUAUGCUUCAUAUUUUUAAUAAAUAAAAAAUUAAAAACAAAUAAUUAUAACAAAUGGAGCCUAAUUAAUUAAAGGAAUGCAUACGCAUUUUUUAAAAUAUGGGAUUAAAUAAUUAAUUGUGCUAAGUUAUAAACACUUAUAUUGCACGAAAAAUUUCCUUUGGAAGCCGUAAUGGUGCGGAAACGUUUGUAAACUCCUAUUCAGAAUUAUCCUUGAAUGUUUAAUAUUUGUUGAACCCAAAAGCUUAGCUGCCAGCUGAAAAUUAUGAAUUUGACGAAUUGAAAUUAAUCAACGACAAUGACGUGCAUAAGUUAUGUCCGCCAUUGAAGAACCUUUUUCUUUCUUUUCCAUAUAAAAUUAGAAAUACCACAUCCUGCACUGCGUUCAAUUUGAAUGUUUCAACACUUUCAAUAAUGUACUGUUGAUUUAUUUAUUUAAUCCUUUUUUNNNNNNNNNNNNNNNNNNNNNNNNNNNNNNNNNNNNNNNNNNNNNNNNNNNNNNNNNNNNNNNNNNNNNNNNNNNNNNNNNNNNNNNNNNNNNNNNNNNNNNNNNNNNNNNNNNNNNNNNNNNNNNNNNNNNNNNNNNNNNNNNNNNNNNNNNNNNNNNNNNNNNNNNNNNNNNNNNNNNNNNNNNNNNNNNNNNNNNNNNNNNNNNNNNNNNNNNNNNNNNNNNNNNNNNNNNNNNNNNNNNNNNNNNNNNNNNNNNNNNNNNNNNNNNNNNNNNNNNNNNNNNNNNNNNNNNNNNNNNNNNNNNNNNNNNNNNNNNNNNNNNNNNNNNNNNNNNNNNNNNNNNNNNNNNNNNNNNNCUGUAUGACUUCAGUACUUCAUUAUUUUCUUUAUUUGCCUAUAAAUAUAUUUCAUUUUUCUUAUUUUUUGUUUAAUGUUCUAAUGUCUAAUCUAUUAGUAAUUAAAGUUUUUUUUUUUUUUUUUUGAAUUAUGCUAAACGAAAUUGAAUUGAAUAGAAUUUCUA
rnacentral:lncRNA from 1 species